AUGAGAUGCCCACAAUGCAUUUAUAUAACAAAAGUGUAAUUGCUCCGCAAAUCUUAAUGGUUCCACCCGGUUAAGAAUGAUGUAAACAUGUAGGCCUAUGUGAUGACUAUCUCCGGUAUUGGGAGGAAUUAUCUUCUGUGCCUAUGCGUGUCAUUCAUCAACUAUGUAUACCCGUAUUGUCCAUGUAUGCCAAGACCAAAUUGAAGUCACGUUUUGGAUAUUUUGGAUUUUAUGUCAAUGAAACAAAAGCGAGUUUCGUGAGCAUGCAUGCCGGGUCUAGAGCAUUCAGUUAUAGCUCUCCAGCCAGGUUGGUUUUUUAAUUAAACUGGUAAAGUUAGACCGAUGUGCGUUAAAAUAGAGAAAUGUCACGCUUCUUUCUUUGUACACGGGUCAUAGGUAGCUCUCUAUAGACCAGUACAUUAUAAACGCAGGAGGUUAAGUCGAUAUUAAAGAUAAUUAUAACUUGGGAGUUUUAUUACUGUACGCUGUUUCAAUUAGUAAAAGACCAGUCCCUGUUCGGGAUAGGCCCAGUGCAUAGCCAUGGGAAUAAACGGGCCUGAGCGACAAGUGGGACAGCCAUGGAAAAACACUAGUUUUAGUGUGUGCGUGCGCGUGCGCGUGUGUCCUGCUGUGACUCAGAUGGACAUGGCGAAACCGUCCCAAACAAAAAAAAAAGUAAUUUUCCACAGAACUUUGUGGUCUGUCCUGUCUCAUAACGUUAGCCUCAUAGCAUAAUUGCCUACGUCAUAUUUUGGCCAAAUUGUGAUAUCUAACCUCACUCUGCUUUCCUAACGCUGCUGAUUCACUGUGCCUCAUUGGCUUUAUCCUUAACCAAUCAAAGAGUUCUUAGAUUCCACAAUCUUUAUCUCCCUCAGUCAUCUAUUUGACAAGAUGAACCUUAAAAUAGCUCCUAUGCAAUUAUGCUAUGAGGACAACGAUAUCUUCACUGUAGCGGUGCUGAUAAUGGGUGUAGAGAGUUGAAGACCAAAACAACAAAGACAUUUUGAAGAUGUAUGUUAAGUAGAAAAUAGUAUACCUUGGAAGUGUAUCAUAGUUAUAUGGUAAUUGUUCCAGCAUGUCUAAUUGGGAAUAUUCUUGCCAGCAAUAGCAGUGUUACAUCCUUUGCUUCUUUAAUGAGGCCAAUGUGAACUUGCUGAACAAAAAAAGCAAGCCUCUUGCAUUAUCAAGCCUCUACAGUUUAUAUUCCAGCGUCCAUGAAGUGGUUACAAGCCCCCUUAUUAUGAACACAAUGGUAACCACAGUCGUGAUGCAUGUGGUUAACCACCACUUGACCCGUCGCCUUGCUUCAUGUUAUAAUACCACUGCUUGCCACACAAUUUAAUAUAAUGUAAUGUGGUCCGAUUAAGAUUGACCACAGAGUUAUUCACAACUGGAACCAGACUGGCAUAAAGAGGAUCCUGUAACCUCAGCACUUCUUCUACAAUGCAUGCCACCGGCGCUCACGGGCAGACACAGCGCUGAGUGGCGAGCAUUGAGCAGGAAGGCCAGACAUACUCGCUGCCGGGGAAGCCCAGUGUUGUGGCAGGAGAUGUGGAAUGGGCCUGUCUUCUAAAAAUCCCCCCUUCGGCCGGUACAAUGCCACGGAAUGCAAGGGCCGAGGGAUCCAGAUUCAGUGGACUCUCUGGGGGCUUGCAAACCCAGGAGCCAUGGACCUUGAUGGUGUAUUGGCCAGCCUGUUCAGAAGCUCCCCACCUAAAAGGGUACCGGCUUCGAUCCCAUGUAUCCACAAGCUACCUGAAAGAUGCCUACCUAUCUUCUCCAUAAUACAUUAUAUAUUAUAUUUUAUUAUAUUUUAUUGUAUGCUUCUGAAUUCAGUUUAAGUGGCUUUGUAUCAUCCCACCUAAAUGUCAAAAUUAGAAGUCACUGUAAACAGGAGCCCGUCAUAAUACUCACCCCAGCUCAGUGAUCAUCAUGCAGUCUUUACCUGAGGAGUGCAGGGGGACUGAUGGGCUGUUUGUGACUCAGCAUCUCAGUGCCGAGGACCUCAGGAUGAAAGGAGGCCACAAUCAGAGAGAAUGGAGCGAGCUGGGACAGAAAUAGUGCAGGAACCUAGUUUUCUGAGUGCGUUGUUGCAUGCAUGCAUUGCAUUCCUGAGUAUGGCUGUAGAAAUGGGUGGGUCUUUUUUAAAUGUGUUCCUUUUUAAAUGUUUAAUGUGUAAAGUACCAUCCAUUCUAUGGAUAAAAUGUAAUAAUGCAAUUCUUAUUCUUUUUUGUUAAAGCUUGAAACUUGUUAGUUGUUGUUUAUUAAAAUUGACAGGCCUGAACUACAUCAACCACUGAAUUUUGGACUUUACCUUUUUGUCAAUAUUGACAAACUGUUCUCUGUAUGACUCUUUUCAAACACGGAAAUCGCCAUCCUUGAGCCGCAUUCACCCAGAUAGCACAGAUUAUGCAACCCUUGUAUCCGAUUGGCCUACUCCAAUGCACAAUGCUGUCACUCAACAUAGUUUGUACUGCAUGUGACAGUUUAAAACCAAACUUUCUGAAGCAUUCGGAGAGCAAAACGUGUUAUAACCUUUGUGCGCACCAGAGAUGCUCAGAACGUGCUGGUCCCAGGUCCCUCUGGCUUGGUACGUUGCUUAUGUUCCAAAACUGAACUUAAGCUUCCAUUAAUCAUCCGAGUCACCCGGUGACCCAAUGUCAUGCACUUUCUCAUCCCAUAAUCCACAACGCAGCCUCCCCCUGUGUUCCCAGGGUCCCUGAGAAGUCACCGUGUUCCCUGACUGUAAACCACAGAAAACGCCUCGCUGCAGCCUCAGCGGACACACCCAUACUCGUCUUUGAUUCGUACUUAUGAAUGUGAUGGAUUGACACAGGCACUCAAGUGGGCUUCUGCAGCCUAGUUUCUCUCGUGAUCUUCAAUAGAAGCAUUCAUGAACCAAUAAUAAUCGUCAUCUUCCCGACACAUAAGCAUAAUCCCUGUAUCGAUCGCCCCAGGGGACUGAUAUUCGCCAACACCACAUAGCAGAGAAACAAACACAGGCCAGCAACCGCUUAACCAGCAUCAGGCAAACAGGGAGGUAGAGUGGGUUCCAGCGGGUCAUUAAACAAGCUGAUAGCAGGUAGCUAUACCUUCCUGUGGAACAGGGCAGCACCAGCAGUCAUCUGCUCACAUCUGCAGUCUGAUUGUUUCAUUGUAACACAGUGCACCCCUUCGUUGACACCUCCUCUAUGACGACUGCUGAUAUGGACUGCAGUAGGAAAGCCCGGCCUUGAAUAUCCUCUUGUAGUGGACUGUUUCUACAUUAGAUGUUUGUUGUCUUCGAGACGAAUGCCAACCAUUGUGUCACUCAUGUUCAAGAUGCAACUUAAUUCUGGUUAUUGCUUAACCUCAUGACAUUCAUCAAAAUGAAUGCUGCAAUGUUAAAAUGGAAAACCAGCGGUUAUCAAUAAUAGACUGGAUGGAUUAGAAUUGGCUAUAAAAGUGGUUGGGGUUGUACCUUUCCAGAUAAGAAAUAAAAUAAAGAGCAAACAAACCUCUUAUGAGAUUAUGCCAUGAAUGACGUGCCAUAUACUAAUGCACCUAACCAUUGGAGUUUAUUUCACAAAUAGGGUGUGUCAAUACUUACGAUGAACCAUACUUCUAAAGUAACGGCUACUCUUAACCGCAAAACACUGCAAGCGGCAUCUCCUGCACGGGACAAUAAAACAUUCUGUUUUAGUUAUUCAAUGUAUCCAUCCUCCUCCUCCUUCUGAAAAGUGUUCUUUAUUAAAGAGCACUCAAAAAGUACAAGGUAAUUGGAUGAGAUGCAACUGUUUAACAUUUAAUAACUGAAGCAUACAGACACACUUACACAUCUAUCAUCCCUCCCUCUCUCAUUUUUCCUUCAUAGAAACAAUGUUCCACUCGAACGCAUCCAAACAAUUUCCAUCCUCCAGACAUUCUCUCUCUCUCUCUCUCUCUCUCUCUCUCUCUCUCUCUCUCUCUCUCUCUCUCUCUCUCUCUCAUUCCAUCCAUUUCUCCAGUAGAAAUGAAAUGAAUAAAUGUAAACCGAUGUGUUGAGAUCUGCAUGUUGAAGGUUGAAUUCACGUCUUGUGCAGGAGCGAGAAAAUGUCCUUAAUAGCAUUUUUGUUUUGGCCUCCCUCACGUUUUGAUACUUGGAGGAGCGGCCCUUUUUUACAUUUAUACAGAGUCAACACAGUAUUUUUGUGUCAAAGGAAGACUUCUUUGAUUAUUUUUUUUCAUCUUGAAAUUAUGUUUAGAGCUUCUUGCCAUUCUGCUCGCAAUGCAAACAAAAUAAUUGGUCACAUUGCAUCCUUGAAUAGAAACCAAUUCCAUUUCUCAAUUUCCACUGCCUUUUCAUAUCAUAUCUACUGUGUGCAUGAGUGCUGGCGUGUGUCUGUGUGAAUGUGUGUGCAAGCCUACUUGUGUGUAGUUAAGCACUGUGAUGGUGCACACUUCUCCCCAUGUCGUCAUGCUCACACACACACACACACACAUACACACACACACACACACACACACACACACACACACACACACACACACACACACACACACACACACACACACACACACACACACACACACACACCCCCACCCCCACACACACACUCCCCGCGGGCCCUGCAGUGGCUAAUUGACCUCAAUCUGUCUCCAUAGUGCGUUAAUGUCAGUGAUUUGCAUUACCUGAUAGAUGGAUGGAUGCUAUGGGUGGCUUGGUCAUUCUAUAGAUGCAGCCGCCAUCCUUUCACUCAGUCCUACAGACCAUCCAUACAGAAUUGAACGGUCCUGAACGAAAAUCUUCACUGUCAACGACAGUUUAAAAUCAAUAGUGAUUCUGCAAGUGAGGCUGCAUUAUUGAACAGUUUUCAGGGUUUGGCUGCAUGGUGUUCUGGUGUCUGCUAGCUAGACGUUAUAGAUGUUGUUUUGUGCCCCAGAGGACUGGUCUUUCCGUCAGGCAGCCAGGGGGGAUGUGAUCAAGGAAGGCCCCGUUGCCCCCCAGGAAAACAACAAUGGAGGCUGCGCUGCACCCCAGCAGUCAAAGGAGGCGGGGCUACUUCUGUUGGGGGCGGGGGAACCAGGCCAACUCGAUCCCCAGGGCUGAUGGGGUUAUGCCUCAAGGUUCAAAUAGGGUUCCAAAUAAGGGUAGAUUUAACACGUGUCCGUGUAGUCCUGCAUGCGUAAGCGUCAUAAUCCCAAAUAUCCCAUCAGGGUUUAACAUAUGACUCUCUAAUCUUAUAGACUCGGAGGGUGAGGAAAGACCACCGUCAAUUUCCACUUCAAAUGAGAAAAUUGUCCGUUGUAGGAAAUCAUCUGAUGACAAGUGGGAAGAUUGCAGCGCUUAACCAAGCCUUGGUUCUCCUCUGGGUCCGUGACCACUGCUGUGCUGCAGAGCAUUAUAUCGUUGAAGAGGGAGACUCUCUCAGCCCCCCUCCCAGCUCAUCCAUUACCCAGCAGUCCCCUGCUGGGACUCGGGGCUGUAGCUCACCAUGGGGAUGGCUGCUGCACCCCACUCACCCACUCCUACGCCCCAUGCCCCUCAUACUUUUCUCAGGCACAGCUGAAGACCUCCUCCAGCAUGGGGCUGACAGUGGGCGGGAGGGCGUGAUUAUCUUGGGCUUGGGGGUGUACCAACCUUUACAUGGUUUCAGUAUGCUUCAGUACACAGCUCCUAAACAGAGGACCAUUACAGCUUCACUGAAUACAGUUCCAUUCUGAGUACAGUAGAAGGAGGCAAUCGAGACGAUCCUUGGAAGUCAAGGGGUUAUUUAUUGCGUUAUCUUCAUUUUAAUUAACACUCUGCCUCUCCCAGAUGUCUUAGUUUCGGAGGCUCGUUUUAUUUGGUCUUCCAAAACAGAUUCUCUCAAGCAACUCCACACUUCACAAACAGUACACACACACACACACACACACACACACACACACACACACACACACACACACACACACACACACACACACACACACACACACACACACACACACACACACACACACACACA